CCUCCGUGCUGCGUAAAAGCUCUCUUGUGAUCAGCAAGAAGCGGCGCCGCCGCCGUAGCUUUCCCGGUCUUAGCCGUUGUUCAAGCUUUAGUUCCUCCGCCCAAGUCUGCUUCUUCCCGACCCCGAGCUUUCCUUUCCGGAAGAAGGUGAGUUGCUGACCCCAGUCCGCCUCGCCCGACCCCUCCUAUGCGCCCGACCCCGGUUCCGUCUCGCCCGACCCUAUCUGUUCUGCCGACCCUUAUCCGCCUCGCCCGAGGGCUCGGCUGUGAUCUUUUUCUUCAACCCGAGGGUGUAUGUGUAAAACAUAGGAACCCUUCAGCGCUUGCGUCAGAGGAUCCCUAGUUUUCCCACCUCCUCUAGUUCAAGGAUCGGAUCAUAAGUUUCUUUCCGACCCUUACCUCUUGAUCUUCACCAGCUCUCUUGAAC
rnacentral:lncRNA from 1 species